UACGGAGGGUGCAAGCGUUAUCCGGAUUCACUGGGUUAAAGGGUGCGUAGGUGGGCAAGUAAGUCAGUGGUGAAAUCUCCGGGCUUAACCCGGAAACUGCCAUUGAUACUAUUUGUCUUGAAUACUGUGGAGGUCAGCGGAAUAUGUCAUGUAGCGGUGAAAUGCUUAGAUAUGACAUAGAACACCAAAUUGCGAAGGCAGCUGGCUACACAAAUAUUGACACUGAGGCACGAAAGCGUGGGGAUCAAACAGGA
rnacentral:rRNA from 1 species